CCUACGGGAGGCAGCAGUGGGGAAUCUUGCGCAAUGGGCGAAAGCCUGACGCAGCCAUGCCGCGUGAAUGAUGAAGGUCUUAGGAUUGUAAAAUUCUUUCACCGGGGACGAUAAUGACGGUACCCGGAGAAGAAGCCCCGGCUAACUUCGUGCCAGCAGCCGCGGUAAUACGAAGGGGGCUAGCGUUGCUCGGAAUUACUGGGCGUAAAGGGAGCGUAGGCGGACAUUUAAGUCAGGGGUGAAAUCCCAGAGCUCAACUCUGGAACUGCCUUUGAUACUGGGUGUCUUGAGUGUGAUAGAGGUAUGUGGAACUCCGAGUGUAGAGGUGAAAUUCGUAGAUAUUCGGAAGAACACCAGUGGCGAAGGCGACAUACUGGAUCAUUACUGACGCUGAGGCUCGAAAGCGUGGGGAGCAAACAGGAUUAGAUACCCUGGUAGUCCACGCCGUAAACGAUGAUUGCUAGUUGUUGGGAUGUUUACAUCUCGGUGACGCAGCUAACGCAUUAAGCAAUCCGCCGNGGAGGUACGGUCGCGAGAAUAAACUACAAUUAGAGUAGUUAGNGUGAGAGNGCGACGGACGACGACGAGGAGAGG
rnacentral:rRNA from 1 species